UACGAAGGGGGCUAGCGUUGUUCGGAAUUACUGGGCGUAAGGGCGCGUAGGCGGCUGUGCAAGUCAGGUGUGAAAGCCCUGGGCUCAACCCAGGAUGUGCACUUGAUACUGCACGGCUAGAGUGUCGGAGAGGAUGGUGGAAUUCCCAGUGUAGAGGUGAAAUUCGUAGAUAUUGGGAAGAACACCGGUGGCGAAGGCGACCAUCUGGACGACAACUGACGCUGAGGCGCGAAAGCGUGGGGAGCAAACAGG
rnacentral:rRNA from 1 species